AAGCGGCGGAGCAUGUGGAUUAAUUCGAUGCAACGCGAAGAACCUUACCUGGGUUUGACAUGCACUAGACGCGUCUAGAGAUAGGCGUUCCCUUGUGGCUGGUGUGCAGGUGGUGCAUGGCUGUCGUCAGCUCGUGUCGUGAGAUGUUGGGUUAAGUCCCGCAACGAGCGCAACCCUCGUUCCAUGUUGCCAGCGCGUUAUGGCGGGGACUCAUGGGAGACUGCCGGGGUCAACUCGGAGGAAGGUGGGGAUGACGUCAAGUCAUCAUGCCCCUUAUGUCCAGGGCUUCACACAUGCUACAAUGGCCAGUACAGAGGGCUGCGAGACCGUGAGGUGGAGCGAAUCCCUUAAAGCUGGUCUCAGUUCGGAUCGGGGUCUGCAACUCGACCCCGUGAAGUUGGAGUCGCUAGUAAUCGCAGAUCAGCAACGCUGCGGUGAAUACGUUCCCGGGCCUUGUACACACCGCCCGUCACGUCACGAAAGUUGGUAACACCCGAAGCCGACGGCCUAACCCCGCUUGCGGGGAGGGAGUUGUCGAAGGUGGGACUGGCGAUUGGGACGAAGUCGUAACAAGGUA
rnacentral:rRNA from 1 species